UGUAAAUGCACAUUUUAACGGCGUUUAAAACGAUUUUAGCGCUUGAUUUAUACAUUCUGUGUAAUAAUGAAGAUUAUCAAGUACAAGCAAAACAAAGGAUUAGCGGAGAGUCAUUUGGAGGUAUUUAUGAAAAUGAACUAGACGCACAAACGAACGAUAAAGUUGUUUCUCUGGAAUAUGACACAAGAGGGGUUAGGCCAUCGGAAUUUGAAAGACUAGAUAAUUUGGAAAUAACGAACGAAAAUGUUGUUUCGUUGGACUAUGACACAAUAAUGAAUAGUCUGUUGGAAUCUAGAAAAUAUAAUGUCGUACAAACGGAAGAAAAAGAUGUAGAAACAAAAAGAAAAAAGAAAAAGUAU